rnacentral:lncRNA from 1 species
UUAAAGUUUCAAUAUUAAAACAAAUACAUAAAAUAUGUCAAUCUAACAUAAAAUAUUUUUGUUGGCAAACCAUCAUUACUAAAAUCAUUGCCUUGCUUCAUUUUUAAUCAAUGUACAAGUAUUGCCAACAAUAUUAACAAGUAAAUUUUAAACAGCUACUGUUAACAAUUAUUUAAACAAAUAAAAAUCUAACUUUAGUGAGCAAUCACUAGGUUCAAGUCAUUAAAGCAAAACAAACAAAACUAAUCAAAUUAAAAUAAAAUAAAAUAUUAGCAAUAUUAAACUUGAAAAUUAUGAAUAUAUAUGUAUGUAUAUAAUUAUUCUCAAAUGCGAGUAUCCUCAUUUUUUUAAAAUAUGUACAAGAUGUUAACCGCAUAGCUUAAUAGAAUUAAUUUUCAGUGCACUAUCGAACUGUACAAAUUAAUAGUAUUAAAAACUAACUUUAUUAAACAACAAGACUUAAUAGUGUAUUUGUAUGAAAAAUAUGAGCGCACUGACACUAGAAAAUGACUACACACACACACACACACACUAGAACGAGUCGGGCAUGCAGAUGCAGUGAGUUAGACUAUGUUUUAUAAAUUAAGAAGAUUAGGUCAUGAGUAAUAUUUUUAGCUUACAUGUAUUUAUGCUUAAAUUUAUUAAUGUAAUUUUUAUAAUUAAAACUAAAAGCAUAAAUAAAUAAAAAUGCGGGUCGGCAGAUACCCACAUGAUUUUUUUCUCAAUAAUAAAUUCAUUCGUAACUCGCAACAGAUUUAAAUUUGAAAUUCUAAACCAACCUGCAAUGCGAAAAAUUACUUGCAGCAGGUGGGUUCGUAGAUAAUUUUGCUAUUCAUAUCUCUAUGUAAAGUGCGAACAAUAAUUUAUUUGUAACUAUUAGCAAAUGCAUCUAUGGAUACGAUAAAUGUACCCAAGUCAGCUAUUAAUGUACCUUGUAGAUCAUUGUUGCUCUUGAGGAAUAAUUUAUGAGCAUCUAAGAAAUUGUCUACUGUAUGCUUGAAGUGUGGUAGACUACUUUGUUCAAAGAUUCCUUAAAGAGAGGAAGGUUAUUAGUCAUGGUCCUGCUGUAAAUUAGGCUCCAAAUGAAUGAAUGGUCUUCGAAAAAUUAUCAGAGACCUUGAUGAAAUAAUAUCUCUAUGAAUAUAAGGUCUUGAUAAGAUCUAGACUUAGUGAAGUUUCUAUUGACUUUGGGUAAUAUUUUAGAAGGCAUUUGGUCUUUGAUGAGAUCAAAAAUCCUAAAAGACCUUUUAAUUGGUAUUAGCUUAAAAAAAUGAAAUGUCUUUACUUACACAUGAAAGAGUGGAAUCAUAAAAAAUGUUCUCGUUGAUUUUUUGUGUUCACAAGUAGCUAUUGAAAUAUAGUUUAGUAUUAAGAUUAUUUUAUCUUGUGAACUAACAAAAAUUUUAGAUCUUGAUGGUGAUGAAUAUGCAAUUUUUUUUUUAUUAGCCUUAUAAAACUCGUAUGUGGACAAGAUAUCUUUUCUAAUUAUUUUGUAGGACUAUUAACAACAACUUCCUUACAUCAACAUAUGAGGUGAUAUUGUAUUGUAUUCACAUAUGUUAGUAUUAGGGGAAGAACCGAGCAACCAUCAAGAGCGUUGAUCGAUGGAGCACUGAUUAGGAGCUUAAUCUCUCUUGAGAAGAACUUACGCAAAUAAUCUAGACAAAUGUGCAUUGUACUCUUUUUUUCUUGACUAGGUUUUGAUCCCUCCAGGUUUUAAAUAAUCUAGACAAAUGUGCAUUGUACUCUUUUUUUCUUGACUAGGUUUUGAUCCCUCCAGGUUUUAGAGGCAAAGGUUUUGAGCGAGGCAGUUCAUUAAAUCAUAUUUCUUUUGCCUGGGGUUUUUCUCCUAUAUGAUUUUUCUUUAGCAAAUGUUAAGUACAAUUAUCAUCAAGUGGUAGAUAUUCAAGAGAAAGUGUUACGAGAUAUAUCUAUCCACCUUUUGAUAAAAAUAUUGUGUGUUUCACAUUAAUGACUUUACGAAAUGAAUUACAAAAAUAACUACAUGAUUUAUGAUGUGUGUAUAUCACACUUCUGAAAACAUAUUAUAAAUUGCGUAUCACACUAAUUGAUUCACAAAGUUUUAUGAGGACAACACCUUAAAAUUUAAAGAGUGUGUUACUAAAUGCAUGACUAAUUUAUAUACUUCAUUAGUUAUAUAUAACCAUCACCAUUUGUAAUUACGUUUAAUUCAUAAAUGAAUUGAGAAAUGAAAUAGAGAACCACUUUGUAUACUUCUUAAUUAGAUUCACGAUAUAUAAUUGUUAUUUCUUGAUUUGUAUGAAUGGUAGGGUUAAAUAAAAAAAUAAAUAGAAGCUACUUGUGAUAAGUUGCUGGGGGGAUUAUAAACGAAUGGUAAUGCUGGUGACAGAGAAUCAGUUUUCGCGCCAGCGGGGUCCUUCGAUGCAAUUUCUUUGUGUACCCUCUGCAU